ensembl:lincRNA
CAGCAGUCUUGCAAAGGUCAGAUUGCAGCACUCUGGUUGACUGGCUCUGUCUUCAGAGUCACAUUGUCAAUACUUCAAGGGCGGCAGAGGGCAUGGGAGACAGGUGAACACUGAUGGGGCGAGGGGCUGGCUCACAGGGACGGGGCUGCAAGCCUCCUGGGGCCCCAGCCAUCGCCACCACCACCUUUCCUUCAGCAGGCGAUGGCGGGGCAGUCACCACAGGAUGUCCUCGGUGAGGAUGACUGCCUGAGAGCUAAGGCUUCCAGACGCUCCCGCUCACGGCUCCUGUUUCCGUCAGCCCCACAGAAAACCGGAAAUGUCCCCUCGGUGCCCCGUGGUGUGUGGGAAGGCGGAUACACCUGAGGAGGGCUGCUUAGUACACACUGGCCGCACAAGGCUCACCAUCAUCUGUAAACAGGACCGUCUGGUGACUGCCCCCUAUUUGGUGUGUCAAGGCGAGGAUUUGAUGCAGCCUGAGAAUGGCUUACUCAACGGAUUUCAUCAGGAGCCAGUAGACGCAUGAGUUUGGCACUUGGCUCCAAGACAGUGUCUGCAAGACCUCCCCAGGCAAACGUGUGUUUGCAGGUACUAAAUGCAGGGAACUAGGUGGGCUGAUGGGGGAUGGACAGGCUCUCCAUCCUGAACAGUUGGCUGUCCGCUCACGGGCUCCACCCUCACUGUCCCCUCUCUCUGACUAAUUUCCUCCUUCCCCACCAGGACGCACGAGGUUCGGUAACGAUGCCAGUCAGUGGUUUCAAAAAGACAAAUCAACGCAAAUUCCCUUGUAACCAAUUUUUCUUUUUCCUAUCAGAGGAAGUCAGAUAAACCAGUCAGGCGGAAAGAGCAUUAUGCUCUACACAUGAUUGCCAGAGUUUAAAGAUAUCUCCUGGUUAUAACCAUAAAGGAAAUUGCCCUCAUAUCUUUCCAUUUUGGGGGGACACAUUUCUGUAAGAACGCAAAAUUGGCUCUUAAAGCACAGGCAUCCUUGAUUGCUAGGAGCGGGUGAUUUCUGUCCCUAAUUACUAAGUUAAUUACCUCUGAACAUAGCGGCUUAUUUCCUCAACAGAUAAACCCUCCUGCUUCAGACAAGGUGAGAGCUGAUUGCUCUUUGCCAUGGACCAUCCUCACGGUUCCUUCACUCAGAAAUAACUGUGAGCCAGGCAUAGUAUUUAUUAAAAGUAUCAC